rnacentral:rRNA from 1 species
UACAGAGGUCUCAAGCGUUGUUCGGAUUCAUUGGGCGUAAAGGGCGCGUAGGCGGCCCUCCUUGUCGCGUGUGAAAUCCCCGGGCUUAACCUGGGAACUGCAUCUUAUACUGGUCAACUGGAGUGCGAUAGAGGGUAGUGGAAUUUCCGGUGUAGCGGUGAAAUGCGUAGAUAUCGGAAGAACACCAGUGGCGAAGGCGGCUACCUGGAGUCGACACUGACACUGAGGCGCGAGAGCGUGGGGAGC